GUGUAGUUGGUGUAGCAGAGGCAGAGGGCAGAGGUAGUGGUAGGUGGUAGUGGUGUAGGUGUAGACAGUGUAGGUGUAGUUGCAGAUAACUGGCCAUAACCAGUCAUAACAACCACGACGGCGUAAUGGCAUAAUAUUAAAUAACCGACAUACACGUCACAUGACUCACAUCCGCUGUCAAAGCAGGUCGCUGAGAUUCUGCUGGAAAAGGGGGAUACAACGAGCAUCCCAUGCGUGACUUGUCAUUUAAGCUUGAGAUGGAGCCAAAGGUGGGAACAAAGGGUACGGUGGCAAGAAACGGGAGGAUGAAUUGCAGCUGGCCUGCAGCAGGGCACUCACAUGCUUGCCAACGUUCUCGUUUGUGUAGAAGCCUUCUGGGCAACCUAGAGCAGCAUUCAAGCUCCCCUUUUCCAUACUGCGUCAUUGCAGGCCAGUGGCACACUUGUAGUCCUGCAGAUCAGUGGAGUCAUGCGAUCAUAUGCCAUUAUUCUCAACAGGAAUUUCAAAAUUCUACAGUGAUACAGUCACAUGCCAAGAUGUAUGCAAGUCAGUAUUUUGUGGAUGAUUUACACGGACAACCUCACAAAAUAAUAAUGCAACCACUACUAUAAUUUUGAUAUGCACUGGAAAAAUCCACUUCAAAUCAGACACUCCUUUAGCAGGCACUAUAAUAUGUCAAAUGAUGGAGCAUUUAGCCUCUUUACAAAAAGUGUUUGAGCUUCUAUUAUAUAAGUUGAGCUGCUUUUGGGGUUAUAAGGACGAAAUUUUGCUCAAAUUUAGGAGCUGAGGUACUGUAAUGGACACUGCAGUCAGUCACGAACCAUGGCCACAAUUUCUAUCCACAUUUCAGCUAGAUCAUGAUGUAUUUUUUCGUUUCCUCCAAUUUUAAAUCAUGUAAUAUUUUUAUUGUUAGCGUCAGUUUACGGUUUGGCACAAAGUCAAUAAUUGGGCAUGAUUCCAUGCAGUAUUUGUAGGAGGCAAAGUACAACAGGUUUUUCAAAAGCUGUAUGUGGAACUCAAUAAAUUUAGAUGACACUUCUGCAAAUAUCCCAUUGCAAUUCUCACAAAUUGUAUGAACACUGCAGAAGA